rnacentral:lncRNA from 7 species
AAAUAUAGCAAGCAGUAGCCAAAAAUAUUGAGCUAGUAUGAUUUCUGUCUCUGUCCAGCAAUGACAAUCUGUCCACCUCCACAGUGAAAUUCUGUAUAUUUUUAACAACUUUGCAGCUGCUGCAAUCUCUUGGUUGUUGUUUAAAUUUGCUGAUAAAGCUAUUUGAGGAGGAGGGACAGUGGUAGACUCCUGAGGAGUCUGAAGAGAAAGGCACAGGCCUCUCCCUCCUUUCACCCAUGCACUCAAUGACUUGGAUUUCUUUGUAACUUAAGCCGGUGGGACACAACCAUGUGUCUUGGUCUUGGGGCUCACACUGGUUGCUUUUUUUUUUUUUUUUUUUUUUUUUUUAAACCCUCUCUGCCCAAGAAAAUUCUGAAUUGGUUUACUAAACUGUCCUGACUCUUGUGCUGAAGUCUGAGUUUGUAAGCCCACAUCUUUGAAAAGGGUUGUCAGACUGGAUGAUCAAGAUGGGCCCUUCGAGUCCUGAAGCCUAUGGAGCUCUGAUCUAAAAUGACAUGAUCACACACCACUUUCCCCUCAGCGAUGCUGACUUCAGUGCACCAGGAGUCACCAAACAAGGAUUUUGGAAGAUGCAUAUGAUUUACCAGUCUACUAUGCUAACAUCAUUUUGACAGAAAUAUGUAAUUUGUGGGAAGCAGACAGAAGCAGUGUUAAGACAGCUGCCUGAAGUCUAGCUUUCUGGUCAGAAGUGAAAUGAAUAUUGAUGAAAGAAAGGAAAAUAAAGAAAUCAAGAAGUACAAAUGAAACACAUCUGUAUGAUUGCUGUUUUCCCAGAGAAGAGCUGAAAUGCAAACAAGAAGUCUCUGCUUUCCUUUUUUCAUCCAAGAUGGCACUAUGGAUAAUUUGUAAUUUAGAAGAUUUAGAACAUUUCACCUACUAAGUAUGAUAAAUACAAGCAACCAACAGAGGAAAAGUUACAUUUUAUUUCUUAUGGCAGAUUGUUGUAUUAUGCUUUGCUGAAAUAUAUACAAUUAAAUUGUCCAUCAACUAUUUUAUCAGCAACUCAUUAGAAGAAACUGUACAUUUAAAAUAGAGUAAUAAUGAACUUAGAUACAUUUUUUCAGCACAGCUGAGAGACUGCUUUCCAGUGCUGCCAUAUAAGGUAAUCAGGAAACACUGGACCCUGGUUCUGCUUAUUCAAGUGUAACCAAGAUUUGGAGUUUCCAAGUCCACUUUAAAAACCUUUAACUACUUAAAGCAUUGGAAUAAAGCUGACCACAAAGAUGGAAAAGAGAUGGAAGAGUGAGAAGAAGGAAAAAGAAGUUUUGAAGCAGAGACCAGAAAAAGAAAGACUGCGAAUGAUUUUGAAGCUCAUACAAGAUGUAGAAUGCCAAUCUCUUCUCUGUGUUCUAGAGGAGCUUUAAACAGCAAGCAAUAGAGUUGGCCAACUGAAGCACAUUAUUCAGCUGUGUUCUCUUUGGAGAUAACUGGUAAUUCUGAAAGGGAGAUGAGGGAGGAAGAAAGAAAGAAAGCUAUAACUUCUUGGUUUGUAAAUCUGCUGGUGAUAUAGUGAACUUAGAUUAAUUUCACAGCUCAAUCUUGAUAGUUAAAGUUGUGUUUUGUGUUUGAUCAUCCUAGGCCUGAGAACAUCCCUGUUAACCUUGUUGCAGCUCUCAACAAUGUAAAAAAAACUUCCUACCAAAUUAUAUUUUUAAUACACCUUAUGAUUUGGUAUAGAUAUGAAGGUAGAUGAAGAGGACAUAAAGAGAUACGUAGAAAAAGACCCAUAGUCCUUAAAAGGAGUUUUGCUCACUUCUGUAAAGGGACUGCAACAGUCCUUGUAGUAUUUUUUUUUGCAGGUGCUAUAAGAAUUACUCUGAAUGGCAGAAGAUGAACUUUGGCAGAAAAUACAGCGGAAACUUCAGCAGCUUAGGCAUGGUUAUAUACAGGUCUCAAUUGCUUUUAACUGAAGUCUUGUUUUGUUGUCUACAAAGGUUGUCUUGCUUUCAGAAAAGUAUGAGCUAUGUUUCAAUGAGACAGAAUUCUGAAAAAAAAAAAAAAAGUUUGAUGUUAUUUACAUUCACUGUAACUAAUCUGAAUCACUGAUUCUGGUUGGGACUGACAUCCCUGUCUAAGUCCCAAACCUAGUAUGAUUUUGUAUGUAGAGCCAGUUUAAAGUCACAGGCUCAGCUAGGUCUAGCUAGAACUGAUGAAGGAUAGAAGAUACAGAUUAAACAUUUUUCUCUAUUGUGAGACUAUAAAUAAAAAAUUGAAUGUGACCU